AUACGGAGGGUGCGAGCGUUGUUCGGAAUUAUUGGGCGUAAAGAGCAUGUAGGCGGUCUGUUAAGUCUGGUGUGAAAGCCCGGGGCUCAACCCCGGAAGUGCAUUGGAUACUGGCAGACUUGAGUAUGGGAGAGGAAAGCGGAAUUCCGAGUGUAGGAGUGAAAUCCGUAGAUAUUCGGAGGAACACCAGUGGCGAAGGCGGCUUUCUGGACCAAUACUGACGCUGAGAUGCGAAAGCGCGGGGAGCAAACAGGAUUAGAAACCCCAGUAGUCC
rnacentral:rRNA from 1 species